rnacentral:lncRNA from 1 species
UCUAUAGACCGGAAGUUAUACAGCCCUCCAAUGUGGAGGCAGGAGCGCCACUUGCCGUCUCUCAGCUGUAUCAAAUGAGUCAUCUUGAGCAAGGCCUGCCCACAUGAAUUCAAUUUGUUAAUGUUUGGCCUCUGCCCCGGGAGGGCCCUGCCAGGAGCUUUAGGAUAAAACAACUCAGCAGAGCUCUAGGCAAGAGUUGACGAGACCUUCUCAAGAGCCACUGGUUCUGCCAAGGACCUCCUCCCUGCCUAGCAUGUGAAGACACUUUGGCAAAGCCUGGCACAGAACCUGCUAGUGAAGUCACCUAUCCCUUUUCAGGGUCCCUUAAAGGGCCAGGAGUGGCAAAUUUAAACACAGAGUUGCCUUCAGUGCUCCCAGGCGCUAGGAUGGGACUUCAGGGAGCUGCCAGCAGGAGCUAUUUUUAUGGAUUCCUUGGGAUUUUCUGAGUAGAAGAUCAUGAAACUGGUGGAUACGGACAGCUUUAUUUCUUCCUUUCCAAUCUAUUGGAGUGGGCAAGAGUGGAAGCUGAAGGAGCCCAAAGGAGACUGUUGCAAUGUUCUAGAUGAGAGACGAUGACAUUGGAGCUUCUGGUUCUCAGGGCUUUGGACUCAGACUGAAUUAUACGACCUGUUUUCAGCUUCUCCACCUUACAGAUGGCAGACUGUGGGACUUCUUAGCCUCUAUAACCACGAUCUCUACACAAUUUUCAAAUAUCAUGAAGCCAUGAACAUGAUUACAGCUUUCUCAUUUUACAGGUUAGGAAAAUAAAGUAGAAAAGUAAAUCCAUUGAAGACAAUAAGCAAUGGAUAUCACCAGCAACAGAAUACUGAGCAUCAUCAGAAUUAUCUUGGCUAGACAACGUCCUGAGAGGAUUCGUUAUGAGAAUAGUGUCAAUCAUAGCUUUAAGACCUUGCUUUGGAAGGAACUGAUGAGAAAGCAGAUUGGAAGUCUCCAUAUCCUGGUGGAAAGAAUUCUCAUUCCUGGGCAGCUGAUCCCCCACCCAGGCACCUGGGAAGCCUGGUUUCCCCCAGCUCAGGCUGAAGGGGAAGAGAUGUGCUGGAGCUUCUGCUGCUGCUUCUGCUCUGACCAAUGGCCAACUUCCUAGGAACCAGAGGGAGGCCCAAGGUCAGGCUGCCCUACCGCAUGGAAGGCCCCG